UAACAAUUAGUCAUUCUAUUUUCGUACUGAUUAAACUUCCAUUUUUAAUAAAAUGUAUUGAUUUUACGAUUAUAGAAGGAAUAUACAUUUUUGUUAAAAAUGAAAAUAUAGGCUGGGUGCAGUGGCUCAUGCCCUUAAUCCCAGCAUUUUGGGAGGCAGAGAUAGGCAGAUCACUUGAGGUGAGGAGUUCGAGACCAGCCUGACCAUCAUGGUGAAACCCUGUUUCUACUAAAAAUACCAAAAUUAGCCAGGCGUGGUGGUGCGCACCUGUAGUUCCAGCUACUCAAGAGUCUGAGGCAGAAGAAUCACUUGAACCCGGGAGGUGGAGGUUGUAGUGAACCAAGGUCGCACCACUGCACUCUAGCCUGGGUGACAGAGCGAGACCCUGUCUCAAAAGAAAAGAAGAUAUAAAAAGUCCAACAAACCAAUGAAAAAGAAUAAAAGCAUCCUAUAACAACACACUGCAGAGACAGCCACAGAUGUCAUAUUGUUAGACUCAUUUUCUGUGGAUGCUUAAGAACACUUUAAAAUGAACAGCCCUGUGACAAAUGCAUCCCCAUUACAGGAAGAAGUCCAUCCCUGAGGCAGGGUGAGGCACAGGGUCUGGAACGAGAGGGCUCCUGCUGCCUUGGAGGAGUCAGGGUCUGCUUACGUGGGCAUCAGGAGUCCUAAGCAGGGAGAAUAACUUCUGGCCUAAAUCACAGCCCCCGGCCCUCCCACCACAGGAGGAUGCUUCUGUAAAUUGUAUUCAGAAAAAAAAAAAAAAAAGCUCAUUUCAGUCAAAGACAAACCAUAAUAUAAAAGAGACUAAGAUAGAAGCUAUGAAAGAAAACAGGAGGAAAGGGACAGAGGGAAACGGCAAAUGAGAAAUGCAUGGGAGAAAAUAGGGUCUUUGGCAAGAGGACCAGUGUCACCAGGCUUUCAUUCAGUAAAGCAAAGCUUAAUGAGGCAUUUAUAAAACCACAGCUCAAGCAGAAAUAGCAGCAUGCAGAGAAGAUAGGGCAAGACAGCAGAGAUGAAAUGUAAGCUGGAUGAAAGAAGUGAACAAGCAGGAAGAAGAAGAGAAAGAUAAAGCUACUGAGAAAUACAAGCCGUGUUAAAGGAAGGACAAAGAAGAAUUAGCAUAUCUGAGAGCACAGGAAUUAUUAAGAAGAAAAGAGUUGAGAACAGCAAACAAAACAGCUGGGUGCAGUGGCUCAUGCCUGUAAUCCCGGCACGUUGGGGAGGCCAAGGUGGGCAGAUCACUUUGAGAUCAGCCUGGGCAACAUGCAAGAUCCUGUCUGUACAAAAGAAUACAAAAAAACUGGCCAGGCAUGGUGGUGCAUACCUGUAUGCACCAGGAGACUGAGGUGGGAGGAUCACCUAAGCCUGGGGAGGUUGAGGCUAUAGUGAGCUAUGACUGUACCACUGCACUUCAGCGUGGGUGACAAACAGACCCUGUCUCUCACUUUGUGAGUUUUCAUUUUUCCAUGGGCUAUUUGUAAAUUUUCUUUUUCUUUUUCAUUUAUUUAUUUAUUUAUUUUGAGGUAGAGUCUAACUCUGUCGCCUAGGCUGGAGUGUAAUGGCAUGAACAUGGCUUAAUUUAAAAAUGGGCAAAACAUGGAAAGACAGCUCUCCAAAGAAAAUGUACAAAGCACCCACCAGGGAAAAGCAAAUCAAAACCACAAUGAAAUUAUAUUUCAUACCCACUAGGAUGCCUAUAAUGAAACAGAGAGAGAGAGCUAAUACUAAGUGUUGGUCAGGAUGGGGAGAGAUUGGAACCUUGGGCGUUGCUGGUAAGAAUGUAAACUGGUGAAGCCACUCUGGAGGACAGUUUGGUUGAUACAGUGUUAAUCACGGAAUUGCUACAUGGCCCAGCAAAUUCCACUUCAAGGCAUGUAUCCGGGAGAAAUGAAAAUAUAUGUCCACACAAAAACUUUAUACAAAUGUUUAUACCAGCCUUAUUAUCAUCGCCAAAAAACGUAGAAAGAACACACAUUAUGGAUAAACAAACUGUGGUGUAUUCAUAUAAUGGAAUGUUAUUUAACAUAGAAACGAAUGAACUACUGAUACCUGCUACCACAUCUGUGAAACUUGAAAACGUGCUAAGUGAAAGAAGUCAGUCCAAAAGACCACAUAUUGUAUGAUUCCGUUUACAUAAAAUGUCCAGGGUAGGCAAAUCUGUGGAGACAGAAAGUACAGUACAUUAGUUGUUACCUAGGUUUGGGAGGCAGGUGAAGGUUGGGCAGAUGCGGAUACUGGGUUCUUUUCUGGUUGUUUUUUUUUUUUUUUUGAGAUGGAGUUUUGCUCUUUCACCCAGGCUAGAAUGCAAUGCUGCGAUCUCAGCUCACUGCAACCUCUGCCUUCCAGUUUCAAGCAAUUCUCCUGCCUCAGUCUCCUGAGUAGCUGCCACCAUGCCUGGCUAAUUUUUGUAUUUUUACUAGAGAUGGGGUUUCACCAUGUUGGUCAGGCUGGUCUCGAACUCCUGACCUCAUGAUCCGCCCACCUCAGCCUCCCAAAGUGCUGGGAUUGCAGACAUGAGCUACCAUGCCCGGCCUCAGAUUCUUUCUUGAAGUGAUAAAAAUGUUCUAAAAUUUUGAUGAUAGUUUGACAACUCUGUGGAUAUACCAAAAAGCAUUGGACUGUACAAUGCUUAAAUGGAUAAGUUUCAUGGUAUGUGAAUUAUAACUCAAUAAAGUUGUUACAGAGAAAAAGACCAUUUUAAGGUGGGUAAGAAUUUAGAGAAAAAUAAAUCCCACAGCAUCUUGUUACAGAAAUACUAGAUGAUAAACUUCAGCCAACCGAGAAAUGAACAGUAACGCUAUGGUAAACAGCCUGGCUGGCUGUAAACAUCGAAUCAAUUUAACUGUUGGACUACAUUUUUAAAAAAUGGUUUCAAAACAGUAAGUAUUCUAGAUUAUAAUCCAUUCAAUCAAAUAACAAUCUCUGGGUUCAUUCUGAUAUAUAUAAAUAGAGAAAGAAAGCUCUUCCUUAUAGUAAAACUUCAGCUAAUAAAUAUAACAGACUUAUGAAAAUAGAAAAUAGGCUGAGCGCAGUAGCUCGUGCCCAUAGUCCCAGCACUUCGGGAGGCCAAGGCUGGCAGAUCAGCUGAGGUCAGGAGUUUGAGACCAGCCUGGCCAACAUGGUGAAACCCUGUCUCUACUAAAAAUACAAAAAUUAAGGCCGGGCGUGGCGGCUCAUGCCUAUAAUCCCAGCACUUUGGGAGGCUGAGGCGGGUGGAUCACGAGGUCAAGAGAUUGAGACCAUUCUGGUCCACAAGGUGAAACCCCGUCUCUACUAAAAAUACAAAAAUUAGCUGGGCAUGGUGGUGUGUGCCUGUAGUCCCAGCUACUCGGGAGGCUGAGGCAGGAGAAUUGCUUGAACCCAGAAGGCGGAGGUUGCGGAGAGCCGAGAUCGCACCAUUGCACUCCAGUCUGGGUAACAACAGCAAAACUCUGUCUCAAAAAAAACAAAAAAAAAAAAUACAAAAAUUAGCUGGCGUGGUGGUGGGUGCCUGCAAUCACAGAUACUCGGGAGGCUGAGGCAGGAGAAUGACUUCAAUCCAGGAAGUGGAGGUUUCAGUGAGCCGAGAUCAUGCCACUGCACUCCAGCCUGGGCGACAGAGUGAGACUGUCACACACACACACACACACACACACACACACACACGAAAAUGUAAAGGAAAAGAAACUUCUAUAAUUAUCAACAGAGAAGAAGUUGUUGGCUCAGAGUUUUUGAAUAUGCUAUUACUCCCUCCUGAAUUGUCUCAUCUCACUUGUUUUUAAUGCAGAGUCUUGCUCUGUCACCCAGUCUGAAGUGCAGUGGUGCGAUCAUGCUUCACUGCAGCCUCAACCUCCCGGGAUCAAGUGAUCGUCACACCUCAGCCCCUCAAGUAGCUGGGACUGAAGGCAUUUACCACCACACCUGGCUAAUUUUUUUUAUUUGUUUUUUGUAGAGAUGGGGUCUCCCUAUGUUGCCCAGGCUUGUCUCAAACCCCUGGCCUCAAGCAAUCCUCCUGCCUCAGCCUCCCAAAGUGCUAGGAUUACAGAUGUGAUCCACCACACCCAGCCUCUCACUCCACAUUUUAAAAGGGUGGAUUCUCUUGUGCCAUUCAUGUCUUAGCCUAAAUAUCCUUAGGAGACAAUGCCCCUGGCCAUCCUUGUUUCUAUCAGUUUUCUUUGAGUCACUCAUAAGCAGCUGAUAUCAUACUAGGUAAUGACCUAUUGGCAGCUGAGAGGUGAGCACUUGAUAUGCUUGGCUUAUUGCUCCAUGAUGCCUCUUUUCCUUAAGGAUCUAAAAUGCCACCCAGGAGCACUCAUUGCAUUUAGUUGUCACAUUUUCUCCAUCUCCUGCAAUCCUUGGUACCUGGAAAAAUGGCUGGCACAUAGUAGGUACUCAUUAAACAUCUUUUAAUGGUUGAAAUGCUGAGAUUCAGAAGGAGCACAGAAAUUGGAAGGUGAAGCAUUCUGAUUCCUCUUUUAUAACCCUCAGCGUCAGCAGAUACAAUUUAAAGAGCAAACUGCUAAACACCAGCUGUCUUUUAUAACCAUUUGUGUAAGAAAAAGACUGAAAAGCCUAGGUGCCUUCCAUCUCAAUUAAAUGAAAUUAAUUAAAGGCUCGUGCCUGUAAUACCAGCACUUUGAGAGGCUGAGGUAGGAAGAUCGCUUGAGCCCAGGAGUUUGAGACCAGCCUGAUCAACACAGUGAGACGCCCCCAUCUCUAUUUUUUAAAUAUAAAUAAUAUAAAUUUAAAAAAUAAAAAAGAGAUGGAAAAGUAGGAGAAUGGGCUCCUCCUACAUGUGGGCCAUAAAAAUGCAGCAUAUCUCAACGCUUGUGGAUGGGACGCUCACAUCUUCACACGUAUAUUUUAGCCUCCAAGAAAACGCCUUGGCUGACCACAUCCCAUUUUAGGGCAGAAUAUCCCAGUUGUGAAUAUGCUCAAUUGCCAUAUGCAUAGAUCCUAGGGAGUCAGAGUGACAGGGUUCAGAUCUCAGCUCUACCAUAUAUUAGCUGCGUGAUCUUGAGGAAGUUACCCACGUCUCUUCCUCAGUUUGCUCAUCUGUAAAGUGGGAACAACGGUAGUACCUAUGGCACAGAGAUAUUGUGAUGUAAAUAAUAUCUAAGUGCCUAGAAAACAGUUCAUGGGCUGGGCACGGUGGCUCACACCAGUAAUCAACACUUAAGGAGGCCGCGGCUGGUGGGAUCACCUGGGGUCAGGAGUUCAAGACCAGCCUGGCCAACAUGGUGAAACCCCAUCUCUGCUAGAUACAAAAAAAAAUUAGCCAACAUGAUGGUGGGCACCUGUAAUCCCAGCUACUUGGGAGCCUGAGGCAGGAGAAUUGCUUGAACCUGUGAGGCGGAGGUUGCAGUGAGCAGAGUUAGCGAUAGCACUUUGGCGUGGGUGACAGAGCAAAACUUUGAUCUUGAAAAACAAAACAAAAGCGAAAGAAAACAGUGCAUGGUACGGCAUAAAUAAUGCGAUGAGUAUCAUGGAACAACGUGGAUCUUUUAGUUAAUCUCCGCCAAUCAAGCCACCACAGCUAUGAAGUAACUGACUUUCCAAUAUUAAAUCUACCCCAUUCUUUCCUCUAGCCUAGUCCCUGUAACCACAGAAUAAUCCCAGGACUUGCAAAUAUGUAUAUAUAAGGUCAUGUUCAAUAGAUCCUGUGAUCUUAGUUGGGGCAAAGCCUGCUCAAUGUUCACCCUCUUUUCCUCCUGCGCACAGAGCCAGGCAACCCUCCCAGCUUCCCCUGCAGUGGAGGGCGCUGUGGCUGAGUUCUGGACGAUGGGCUAUGAGCAGGCUGACGCUUGCUCCACCCCUUUCUACCCCUUGUAUCUCUAGCGGCUGCAGAAUGUCUGCAGGUACUAGGGGAGAACUCUGCGGGUACUCGGGGAUAGCAGAGUGUGGGGCUUUAUGUCAUGUCUUCCUCGGAGUGAACACAUUUAUGAAUGUUUCAGUAAAUGCCUUCUCGCUUGAAGUAAGGAGGUUAACCUUAUGAAUUUUCUUUUAAUACAAAGACUCGUGAGAAGAUGAAUGUUUCCUUUUUUUUUUGAGAUGUAGUCUUGCUCUGUUGCCCAGGCUGGAGUACAGUGGUAUGAUCUCUGCUGGGACUACAGGUGUGCGCCACCACACCCAGCUAAUUUUUGUAUUUUUAGUAGAGACAGGGUUUGCACCAUGUUUGCCAGGAUGGUCUCGAUUUCCUGACCCCUAGAUCCGCCCGCCUCAGCCUCCCAAAGUGUUGGGAUUACAGGCGUGAGCCACUGCACCCGGCCGAGUGUGGGUCUUUGAAUGAACCUGUAAUCCAAAAAAAAAAAAAAAAAAUUCUAAGCUCUUCCCCAAACCAUCUGAAUGGAUCCCUUCUCUCUGACAAAAGCACCCCAAGGUGAAUCUGCAAACACCAGUUCAGGCCAUGAUGGGAAGGCGGAGCCAGAUGUGCCUCAUCAUCCCCUCCUUCCUUUUGGAAUUACUGAUGAAACAGGUUCUUUCAGUCUGAUAAACACUUGCUCUCUAUUCUCUCUGCAGCCUGCCACCUGGAGGCUUCAUCCACCUGAUACCGCCUCAGUCUCCACAACCCCUUACUGUAACCCUAACCCAGACAUUCCUUCCUAUUGGUAAUAACACUUUCAACCAACUGCCAAUCCAAAGAUCUUUGCAUCCACUUGCAGCGCGGAAGCUCCUACUUCCAUUUGUUCAACCUUUCUGGACUGACUCAGUGUAUGUGUUCUGUGUAUUGAUUGAUGCCUUAUCUCUCCUUAAAAUGUAAAAAGCAAAAACAAAAAAUGUAGUUGUGGCCCGGCCACCUUGGGCACAUGUUCUGAGGAUCUCCUGAGGACUCUGUCAGUGAGCAUUGGUCACUCAUAUUUGGCUCGGAAGAGAUCUCUUCAAACAGUUUAGAGUUUGACUCUUUUCAUCAACUACCCCGUGGACGCACAUUGGGCUGUGAUCUGGGUUUAAGCCACUGAGUCUCGGGGCUUGUGUGCUACAGAGCACUUAGCUUGACCUGGCUGAGAACCGCAUGGUGGCAAAGGAAGGAGUUAAGGGAAAAAGAAUUGAGAGGAGGGGUUGGAGAGCAGGGAGGGGCAGCCUUGGACAAAGGGAAGUUCAGACUGAUUGAAACAGCACCAGCACAGAGAUCCCAAAGACACAGAAGAAAUCUUUGCAACAGCCAAGUUCAGAUAACUGUGCUUGGAGGAUUGGAGAGGAGCACGGAGAUGUGAAAGGGAAAAUAAAAAGGCGCUAGGGUUGGAAAACGUGUGAGCAUUUGAGCUGAUGGAGACGGGCUGAAAGUCAGCUGCACAAACCACUCCAGUUCAACAAUAGGUGUUGAGCAGACCUAGCUGGAGGGCAGCGUUGUCUUCUAUCAGUGAAUGCCUGGCUGGGAAGCCAUAAUAAUGCAGGCAGCUCCAACAAGACUGAAGCUGAAAGCCAUGGAACCCGCCAGCACAGGUUACCCAGGGUGUAGACUGCAGCCGGUCCUCCGAGCCUGUUAGGAACCAGGCUGCACAGCAGAAGGUCUGUCCUAUACAUCAUCCUGUUCCGGAGAUACACAGCACAAUGGCCUGGAAACAGCCUUUGUGUUGGAGCCAAGCCCAGCAGAGUCUCGAUUCCUUCUCCCUCAGUCACUCUCUGGAUGAACAAGAGCAAGUCAUUGACCCCUCUGGGCCUCAGUUUCUUCACCCAUAAAGUGGAGUUUUCUUUCUCGGCCUUCACUGGCUUGGACCUUGUCUUCGACGCUGAUUGGACAAACGGCUUCAGGAAAGCAGAUAAAGGGUAAUCAGCUCUCCCUGGUGAGUCAUUAUUCUAAGGUCCAGGUGUUUUGGCUUGCUUGUUUGUUUGUUGAGAUUAAGAUCAUCUCACUUAUAUCCAAGUUUAUAAAUGGAUGCUAUUUUGAGGAUGCCAUUUUUACGUUUGAAAGGCACACUCUCACUUCUGGCUGUUGGUCUGAAGGCAGAGCCGCAGCACUAACGGAGAUAAAGGAAAGGUAAAUGCUUCUUCUUCAGUUCCCAGAGAUCAUAAAAAUUGUCGAUGCCGACUGAUCUAGCUCUGUGGUUCUAGCGACUUUUCUGUCUCUAGGUUUUGCCAAUUUCAGCUGAGAUUUGCACCUUACAAAACAAGGAACGAGCAGUGUGGGGGCAAAAGAAGAGUCUCCGAGACUCACAUCCUCUUUUGCAUGGGGGCAGAGUAAGAAUUCCAAGACUAUGUUUUGUUUAAUUAAACUAUUUAUUUAUUUGUUUAAGGCAAGGCUUGCCCUGUGUAGCUGGGACUGCAGGUGUGUGCCGCCGUGACCGGCUACAUUUUUUCUUUCCUGUUUUAGAGACAGGGUCUUGCUAUGUUGGCCAGAUUGCUCUUGAAUUCCUAACUUCAAAUGCUCCUCCCUCCUUGGCCUCCCAAAUUGCUGGGGUUACAGGCAUGAGCAGGUCCCAAAACUAGUUUAAGUGCUCACUGACUUUCCGUAGUGAUCAUUUGCCUGAGACUCUUUUCUGAUUAGGAAAAUCAUCUGCCUUCCCUGGUGAUUCAUUCUUCUAGGGUCCAGGUGUUUUGGCUUGCUUGUUUGUUGAGAUUAAGAUAAUCUCAUUUAUAUCCAAGUUUAUAAAUGGAUCCUAUUCUGAGGACGCCAUUUUUCGUUUGAAAGGCCCCUCUCACUACUGGCUGUCGGUCUGAAGGCAGAGCCACAGCACAAAAAAAGAUAAAGGAAAGGUAAAUACUUCUUCUUCAGUUCCCUUCUUCUGGCCCCUGUCUCCUGAAUGGCAUUGUCAGUUAGGGAUAGGAUCUCAGGAGCUGUGCUUUUGUCCUUAAAGGAGCCAUUAGCAAGUGGCAUCAGCUGAGGGCUGUGAUUGGCCCUUCUCUUCUGGGUAUCCUGUCUGUGAUUGUCACUAAUGCAAGUUCAUUAGAUAUUUCAUUAGCUGAGCCAAAAACCUAUAUCCUGAUCUUUAGCUGAAAACAUCUCCGAAUUAGAUUUGGAAAAUUGGAAGAAUACUCAUUCGCCGGUGGCAAUUAAUGAGUCAUGACUAACGAAGGCAGGGAGACGAGGGCAGCAGAGAGGCUCUCCUUCCGUGCCGCUGAUGGGUAAAUGGAAGAGGAAAUUACACUGCAUUUCGUGAGUUCACUGGACCAUGAAGCUGUCACUGCCUGGAGCCACCAGACUUCCUGACCCAGUUCCUGGGCUUUUCAGUACUUCCUUCUUUUCAGAACCCAACGGGCAGAACACAGAGUCUGGGUAGCAGGAGGUCAGUUCUCAAGGCGGGUACUCCUGGCCUUCAGGUGCUGGUAUCAUUGGCGAUGUACCACAUACCACCAGAUCCUCUUAUUUUCUUUUAGGUAUAGAGGAGACGACCUUGGAAGCUAUUGCCUUCAACCUUCACUUCCUACACCAGUGAAACUGAGGCUCAGAAGAGUCAGGCAACUUGUUCCUGGACGCAUUGAGUAGGUCUGAUCAGCCGCGCCAGCCGACCUUGCCACUAGCCUCGUGCCUGCUGUGUCUCAACUUUGACCUCCUCCUCCUCUGAGACGAGAGACAGGAAAGAGAGGCCUCAUCCCUCAGUAACACUGACAGCACCUGAAGGCCCACUGUGUGCUGCUUUGAAAUCCGCCUCAUCUCCGGGUGAUGAGACAAGCUCUGAAGAGACUCUGCGAGACCGGCUCUUCUGUAAGUGGACUGCGGCUUAUUUAUAGUCAUUCCGCACGUGUGCUAACGAGCCGUGGGGCCCGGCAGACACCACUUAACUUUCUACGGCGCUUGGUUUUCUCAUCUGUAAAAUCACAAGGUUGGACAAGUUAAAUUUCAGAACUGUUCAACGAAAACAUUCUCUGCUCUCAUGACACUUCGGGUUAAAAUAGGACGUUCUUUUGACUUCUCAGUAAUCUGACUGUCCUUCUUCCCCAUUGCUUCUGAAUGAGGAUUUUUUUUCGUCUGCUCUAACUUAACCAAAACAUGAGCACAGCUGACGAUUUUGUGAAGGGGUUGCGGGACGCGCGGGAAGGAACCAUGACUUUGCUCCCUCCCCAUCAGGUGUUUUCCUUUCAGGCCCUUGAUCUCUCUCUCACCCAGGAAUGGGGAGGGGAUCCCAGCGUCGCGGUGAGCUCGUGUAAGUAAAUAUGGGACCCAAAGAACUUUGCAGAAAAGGGUUUAUUUAGGCAGAGAGAGAAAGAGAAGUAGAGAGGGACGGAGAAAAGCCAGCUCCCCCGCUGCUGUGGGAGGAGAGCCCGGAAGCGGAAAGCCGCCGCGCACGUGAGGGGCGGGAGGUCUUUUAAUCUGGCAUUUACUCCCGCCCCAUUCAAGUUCUCGUCCUAUGAGGAGAGUUUCUUUAAACUUCCGUUGGACUGACUGAUCUUCGAUUCUGACACCUGAUUGGCUGUUUGGCUCGGAGUCUGCCCAUAGCUUUCGGCGGGCUUUUCUACUGGGUGAGGCUCACCUGGCCGGUCUACCCUCCCCGGCGGGCGAAAGUUAGACAAAGACCUCUCCGCUCCCGGUUGGAGACGGGAAGGAAGGCAGGUCAGGCGCGUCGCGGGGAAGUUCUUGCCUUUGAAACCACGCCCCUGUGGGCCCGACUUCCUGCUUGGACAGUGUAUUUGAUCACUUGUCGUGUUGCUGCAGUAAUCUCAGGUCUGGGAGGGAGAUGAACAUAUGAGUCAGUGGAGUGGGAGAGGCAGACCCACCCUCAACCUCGGAGGGCACCAUCCAGUCAGCGGUCGGCGCGGCCAGAAUAAAAGCGGGCACAGUUAUGUGGAAGGACUAUGCUUGUCUAGUCUUCUGGCCUACGUCUUUCUCCUGCCCUUGACCACUGCAUCCCACGUUCUUCAGCUUUAGGCUUUGGACUGGCUUCCGUGCUCCUCAGCUUGCAGACAGCCUAUGGCGGGACGUCGCCUUGUGAUCAUGUGUGGCGGUGUAUACCUGUAGUCCCAGCUACUUGGGAGGCUGAGGUGGGAGGAUCAUUUGAGCCCAGGAGUUCGAGGCUGCAGUCAGCUAUGAUCCUGUCACUGCACUCCAGCCUGUGCAGCACGGCUGGAGUGCAAUGGUGUGAUCUCAGCUCACUGCAACCUUCACCUCUCAGGUUCAAGCGAUUCUCCUGCCUCAGCCUGAGUAGCUGGGAUUACAGUGCAUCCAGAGUACGUGACACUUCCUGCUCACCAAAUUCAACGAUCACUAUGUCAUGAUAUAGCAGACCACUGUGAUGUUAUGUGGAAUGUCAGGAGGGACCAAGGUCCCCGUGGAAAACGUUAUCACAAAGAGUAGUUGUGAAGGGCCUUCGUGACUUGGACUCAUGACAAACAACUCGUUACAAAAAAAAACAAGGAUCCCAGACCGCACCGAAGCCUCAUGAGACCUCUCCUUGUCUGUGCACGGAUUGGUGGCCAACUCUGGAGCCCACACGGUUGCUUCCUGGUCGAUGAUGAGUCCUCCAUAGUCUGAGCCGAUAUCCAAAUUGAUUCUGCCUACUUCAGUCUCGAUGUGUGAAAACGCUGACAGACAGAAACACCUAAGGAUGCUUCAGCUGGGUCUCUGUUGCUGAUAACUGACAGUCUGUCUCCUCCACCAUGCAGUCAGCGUCCAGACUCCCGUCGAGCCCUACAUAACAAACAAGCUCACCUCACUACAGAGACCAACAGAGUUGGACGAGGGGACUGUCUACAGUAGCAUGCUUGACCAUCUGGGUCCAAGGGGAACCAGAAGGUGGUUAAACCAUCCGCCGGAGAUGAGCAAAGCCAAGGUGAGCUUGUUUGGCACCAAUUCUGUAACUACAGAGCAGUGGACACAAUAGCUAAAGCAGAAUGUGCCAAGAGGGUGGAGGGGGGCUAGCAGUGUUUGAAUUGUGUCCCCCAAAAAAUGUUGUAUUGAGAUCCCAACUCCCACCAAAUUUGAAAAUGAACCCUAUUGGAAAUAGAUUCUCGGUGCCACAGAGAAAAGUCAGCACUGAGACAAUCUUUCAGCAACGCAAUUUUUACUUCCUGGGCUGCGGGAAGGGUACUCCUGUUAGCCCUUGUGCCAUGAGUGUACAAAGAACAAAGGGAAAUACACAAAUUUAUCCCUUACACAUUUGGGGUCGUCCUUACUGCUGUAUCUGAUCACCGUUGGUUGGAGCCAGACCCCACAGUCUAAACUAAAACCCAUUGCCUAACAAGUUAAAACUUUUCUAAACAGGUAAAAGCAACGGAGAGCUGGGACACGCCUGUGAGCACAUCUAGCACAGACAUCUUGGUUAAAGUACAAGGACGUAGGAUGUACUAUGUGCCUGUAAGCAUGGCGUGCCUAACAGCUACAUAGGAUGGGGCUUAACAAAGUUAUUAGCAUACUUACUCUUUAACGAGAAAGGAAAUUUUAAAAAGGAACUUUUCAACUUCCCACAAAAUCCUCGAGCUGAAGGGAUCAGUGAAGGUUUGUUUAUUCCUAAAUGACCAGUGAGGUCUGCAGCCAAGUUGCCAUAAAGUGAGGAAUGAAGGAAGCACAGACGAGGCUGCAUCAGGAUGUUAAGGAAAUUUAAAUCAUGUCUGGGCUUCAGGAAACCUGGAGUGCGCCUAAGAGAAGGAAAUACUGCUUGGAUGGUAUUAUGGGGCAAUGACAAGAAAACGGACUCUAACUUUUCUGUAGUUCUUUACUGCCUUAAAAAAAAAAGUCAUGUCCUUCUGUCCUAUCCCUGAUGAGUUGAGAGCAAAAUGAUGGUUACCCUGUUUUCUCUACAAAUAGAUGAUUCAGCUGGAUCUCCGUUACUGACGACAAGCUCCCAGUGCCUAUGAAGGGGACCUUAUUUUGAGGUAGGGUCUUUAAUCAAGGUACAAUAAAGUCACACAGUCUGGAGACAGAAAAAUACAACACAUAGGGUGGGGUGCAGUGGGUUGUACCUCUCAUCCCAUUGCUGUGGGAGGAUCACUUGAGCCCAGAAGUUCGAGGCUGCUGUGAGUUGUUAUAAUGGCACCACUGUGCAUGGGCAACAGAGCAAGAACCUGUCCUUCCAAAAUAGCAAAGAGGGGAGGGAAAGGGAGUGGAGCAGCAAAGCAAUCACCUGUCCCUCCAAAAAAGGAAAGAGAGAAGGGAGGGGGAGGAAAAGUAAGUAAAUGAGGGUUGUAGAACCAGAAGAGGCUAGAGAAGUGACGGUAACUGAGUCAGAGCCAGAUGGAUAUGCUGGAGUUCACAUGGUGGAAAGAUGAGGAGACAGCCCAUUCCUGUGAGUAGCCAAGGUCUGCUUGGAAUAAAGGACAUGUGCCUGGCUUCCGUGCUCACAAUGAUCCUGAAGUGAUUGAUUGGUAGGAGCUCUUGAAACACUGUGCGGAAUCUAUUAUCAGGUAAAGCGCACCUGGGAGGAUCUGUCCUGGAACAGGUACUCCCCAGGGAGUCUGCGCCUGCCACUCAUCAUCCAUGCCUCCCAAAAAUCCUCAUUGCAUCACACAAGGGUGGGUUGCAGCUGUGGCAACGUCCUGUGUGUUUCUAGCCACUCGGUUCAUUCUGCGGGGACCUAUUAUAGACAGCACUGUAUUCCCCUCCAAAUUCAUAUAUUGAAGCCAUAACCCCUCGUGAACUACAUUUGGAGACCGGGCCUUUGAAGGAGGGGAUUAAGCUUAAAUGAGACUGGGCAUGGUGGUUUACACCUAUAAUCCCACCACUGUGGGAGCCAGGUGGAUCACUUGAGGUCAGGGGUUCAAGACCAGCCUGGCCAACAGGACAAAACCCCGUCUCCACUAAAAAAACACAAAUUAGCCAGGUUUGAUAGCAGGCUUCUAUAAUCCCAGCUACUUAGGAGACUUCUUAGAUCCCAGGAAGUUGCAGUGAGCUGAGAUUGCACCACUGUACUUCAGCCUGGACAACAGAAUGAGACUCUCUCUCAAAAAAAAAAACAAAAUCAGGCCAUAAGAGUUGAGGCCCUCACCCAAUACGACUGGUGUCCUCAUAAGAUGUGAAAAGCUUACCUUUCAGAUGUCCAUGAAGCCCACCCCACUACAAAGACCAACAGUUGGACCAGGGAACUGUUUGGAGAUCCAUACAAGACCACCUAGAACCACAGAGAGCCAGACAGUGGGUAAAACAAUCCUCAAGGCACUGGCCAGAGAUGAGCAGAGUCAAGGUGAGCUCAUUUGGCACCAAUUAGAAGAGGGCACAGUAGCUUGGGCAGAAUGUGUCAAGAGGUGGGAGGCCAUUGUUCACUGAACAAUUGGAAAGGGAAGACCCCCUAGAAGUUACCAGAAGGAUGCAUGCACAGAGAAAAGGCCACAGGAUGAUACGGAGAGAAACUUCACCAGAAAUCCACCCUCCCAUCACCUUGAUCUUGAACUUCCAGCCUUCAGAACUGUGAGAAGAUACAGUCCUGUUGUUUAAGCCAGCCAGCCAGUAGGUACCCAAGCAGACUAUGACAGACCCUAACUCUCAGCUGGUGCUGAACCUAAUCGCUGUCUCAAGUCUGCCAAAAACUCCACUGUGAUUUUCAGAGGCUUUCUGCCUGGGAUGUUAGCCCCCCACCCUGCAAAGUCCCAAAAUUUGGUAAAUUUCCUGAGACAAAAACUGGCUAUUUGAGUCCCCGAGUCCCUUUUCAAAUCUCAGCUACCUCUGUCCACUCCUUUCCCUCAAAAAAAAAAAAAAAAGCAUUCUCUGCUAGAUGAACUGGGUCCACUAAAACCCAUAGGUUGAAGUUCUAACCACCUCUACCUCAUAAUGGGACUGUAUUUCAAGAUAGGACGUUUAAAGAGGUAAGUAAUUAGGUUCAACUGAGGUCAUUAGAGGGGGCCCUAAUCCACUAUGACUGGUGUCCUUAUGAGAAAAGUAGAUUAGGGGGCUGGGGGCAGUGGCUCACACCUGUAAUUCCAGCACUCUGGGAGGCCAAGGCAGGCAGAUCAUUUGAGGUCAGAAGUUCGAGACCAACGUGGUGAAACCCCACCUCUACUAAAAAUACAAAAAUUAGCCAGGCGUGGUGGUGCAUGCCUGUAUUCUCACCUACUCAGGAGGUUGAAGCAAGAGAAUUGCCUGAGUUCAGGAGACAGAGUGAGCUGAGAUCACAUCGCUGUACUCCAGCCUGGCCAACAGAGCAAGACUCUGUCUAGAAAAAAAAGAGGUUAGGACACACACACACACACAACACAGAAGGGAAGAAGGGAGACCAUAUGAGGUCAAGGGAGAGGAUGCUUAUCUACCAGUCAUUGGUCAUCUGGCUCAUGCCAGUAGUCCCAGCUACUUGGGAGGCUGAGACAGGAAAUUCGCUUGAACCUGGGAGGCAGAGGUUGUAGUGAGCCGAGAUUGCGCCAUUGCACUCCAGCCUGGAUGACAGAGACUCCAUCCUAAGAAAAAUAAAGGAGGCCAGGAAGGAGAUCUUGCUGUUGAGGGAUCACAUUGUGAGCUGAGUGGGAGCGUGUGGGAUCCUCCAUUUUCACACCAUGAACGUCCCAAUAUUGGUUUUGGCUCAAGUUCAGUACCUUUGCGCCUUGUCUCUCAUUCUUGCUGUUUUAUUUUUUAUCAUGUCUAAAAUUAUUACAGUGUGCCAGAUUCAGUCAGCUGCCUACCAGAUUCCCUUAAAAGUGUAUAACGUAGUUAAAACCAUUGCUUUUAAAAAGCUCCUUUAAAACAUGACAUUAGUCGUAAUAUUAAGAUAAACGAUUGAGUUAUCCCCAAUGUAGGUGUUACCCUUUGACUUAAAUUCCAACUUGAGUAAACUAGGCAAGGAACAUUAAAAGCACAAUGGCUUUUAGGACCCACCGGGUAAUGCUAGAAUUUGUGGCAUGCUAAACACGAGCAGAACAUAUGCCAGAGAGUCCUGGUUAAUCACAUUUGGGGCCCAAUUAAACUUUUCCGACUUGCUCCUGCUUCUACCUGGGCCUCAGUGAAGAGAGCACAGCAGGUGAAAUUGCCUUAGGCAGAAGGAAACUUCCACUCAGGCUGCUAAGGACAGGUUCAGCUGCUCAUUAACUGGGCUCUUUGCAGAGACGGAAGGACAAGGAAGCACAGGGCCAGAGCAAAGCCAGGGAUAGGGGACAUACAUCCCCAGAUGCUGCUCUCUCCUCUGCUUCCCAGGAACCAGAACUUUACCCCAGAACUAACUUACCUGUGACUGGUGGCAAAGGUCUCACACCUGGAAGGACCGACAAGCUGUGGGAUGAAGGUACCAGGACAAGAACGAGCUUGAGACCUUUUAGGGGUUACACUGUCCUUCUGCGAUCAUUGUUAAGGUCAGUUGCCACUAGACCACAGAUCCACAGAUGUGUGAUAAUUCACAAUACACAGCAUCCUGUUUUUUGAAGACAGCGUCUCACUCUGUUGCCCAGGCUAGAGUGCAGUGGUGCGAUCUCAGCUCACUGCAACCUCUGCCUCCCGAGGAGCUGGGACUAUAGGUGCACUGCCAUGCUCGGCUGAUUUUUUGUAUUUUAGUAGAGACAGGGUUUGACCAUGUUGCCCAGGCUGGUCUCGAACUCCUGAGCUCAGGCAAUCCACCCACCUUGGCCUCCCAAAGUGCUGGGAUUAUAGGUGUGAACCACUGUGCCCGGCCCCUUUUUCAAAUGUAUUGAGAAGGACAUCCAGAUCAUUGAUCUCAGUCUUCCCAAAACGACUGUCCAUCCUCAAAGGAUCUGGGGACCAGGCCUGGGCUCAUACCUGUAAUCCCAGCACUUUGGGAGGCCAGAGCAGAAGGAUCACUUGAGCCCAGUACUUCAAGACCAGCCUGGGCAACAUGGUGAGACCCCCAUCUCUAUAAACAACAACAAAUCAGCCUGGAGCAGUGGUAUAUGCACCUGAAUAGUCCUAGCUACUCUGAAGGCUGAGGUGAGGUCAUCACUCGAGCCCAGUAGUUCAAGGCUGCAGUGAGCUAUGACUGCACCACUGCACUCCAGCCUGGGUGACAGAGCAAGACACUGUCUCUAAAAAUAAAAAUUAUAAAUUUACAACUGUUUCUAAAAAAGGAUCUUGGAAAGAAUUGCUUGAUGCUGCUUCUCUUUGAGGAAGUGAUUCCUUUGGUCAACCUGACGUGCCUUUCAGGUUCUUUGCUGUGAUGGGGGUAACUGAACGUGCCUUGGAGGAGCAGGAGGCCGGGGAUGGUGGCUCAUGCCCGUAAUCCCAGCACUUUGGGGGGCUGAGGCAGGAGACUCGCUUGAACCCGAGACGGGGAAGUUGCAGUGAGCCAAGACUGUCCCAGUGUAUUCCAGCCUGGGCAACAGAGCAAGACUCAGUCUCAAAAAAAAAAAAAAAAAAACUUAAGAAUUCUAGAUAGCAAGAAAUAAUAGGGUAGAAUGAUACAGGGAACCAAAGAGACAAUGUGAGCCUCCUUUAGGGAUGGCGGUCAGAGGAAGUAACAUCUGAACUAAGAUCUAAGAUAAGGAAAAGUAGUAGUCACUAAAAAACAAAAUGACAGCCUGGUGCAGCGGCUCACACCUGUAAUCCCAGUACAUUGGGAGGCUGAGACAGGAGGAUUGCUUGAGGCCAGGAGUUCAAGACCAGCCUGGGCAAUAUAGUGAAACCCCUUUCUACCAAAAAAUACAAAAAUCAGCCAGGCAUGGUCGUGGACACCUGUGGUCCCAGCUACUCGGGAGGCUGAGGUGGGAGAAUCGCUUGAGCCUGGGAGGCAGCGGCUGCACUGAGCCGUGAUUGCACCAUAGCACUCCAGCCUGGGCAGCAGAGUGAGGACUGUCUGAAAAAUAAUAAGAAAAUGACAGCUAGGUGCAGUGGCUCACACCUGCCAUCCCAGUGCUUUGGAAAGCAGAGGCAAGAGUAUCUCUUAAGACUAAGACUUAGAGACCAGCCUGGGCAACAUAAUGAGACCCCCUUCUCUACAAAAAUAAUAAAAAUAAGCCUGGCAUGGUGGUGUGUACCUGUAUGUAGUCCCAGCUACUCAGGAGGCUAAGGCAGAAGGAUCACUUGAGCCCAGGAGUUUGAGGCUGCAAUAGGGUAUGAUGCACCACUGCACUCCAGCCUGGAUGACAGUGACAGCUUGUCUCUAAAAAAACAAAGAGAGAAGAUUACUAAUUUGAAUCCAUGUGUAUGGAAAAGAGGACAGCAUGUUCAAGGUACAUAAAGGAAGCUCAAAAGCCCAAGUGUCUGGAGCAAGUGAUGAGAGAAAGAAGAGGGAACCUGCCCUCUGAGGGGAACUCCCAGGUCUACAGGCUGGGCGAGCGCUGUGAAAUUAUGUUGUAAGUGCAUCGAGAAGCCACCUAACAGUUUUUUGUUUUUCUUCCUGAGAUGGAGUCUCAUUCUGUCGCCCAGGCUGGAAUACAGUGGUAAAAUCUCAGCUCACUACACCCUCUGCCUCCUGGUUCCAAACAAUUCUCCUGCCUCAAUCUCCCAAACAGCUGGGACUACAGGUGUCCACCACCACACCCAGCUAAUUUUUGUAUUUUUAUUAGAGACGGGGUUUCACCAUGUUGGCCAGGCUGGUCUCAAACUCCUGACCUCAAGGGAUCUGCCUGCAUCGGCCUCCCAAAGUGCUGGGAUGACAGGUGUUAGCCACUGCACCUGACCCCAAAAGUUUGUCUUUAAACCAGGGGUCACUCACCAGAUACUGACUCUUCACGGAAACCGGUUUCCCGGGAUCUCCUGCAGAAAUACUCAAAACUUUAGCUUGUAGCCAUGUGCUAGCUAAAGGAUGCAGUUGAAUCGGCCCCCAGCUCCGGGCCUGCUGAAUUGAAUGUGUCUCCUGAUAGGUCCUGGUUCCCUCCCCAUCCUUCACUGUAUUUUCAGAUUGGACAACUUUGCCACCAUCCUCUCUUACUGCAAGAGGACAUUGGCUUUUCUCUCUGCCCACAACCUUCACCAGCGUCAAAAAGGAAAUUUUUGAAGUUUCCUUUCUUGUUAAAUAAGCCACGGGCUAAUGUCUGAACCCCAUGGAAAAAGAGAGCAACUGGAGACAGAAGCCGAAAAGAAGGCGCUUCUCACUGGCUCCCCUCUGCCGUGCCCCAGGGCUGUGUGCUCAGAACAGUUGGUUCUGUUUGAAGCCAGCGGACUCUGCCUAAACAUCCCGACGACAGGAGCUCCCUAAAGCAUUGCGCUGUUUCCAACUGAGGAGUGUGGAGGAGGUUAAAGAAUGGACCAUCUAAUUGGAGGAAAACAAGCUCAGGGCUCCCACUGAUUCUGCAUUACGACUAUGAAGAGUGCAGACUCACCCCUUAUCUCCACCAAAGUCUAACCACCAGGGAAGAGACAGAAGGAACUGCAAAUGGGAGCAAACAAUCCACUUUAUUAAAGUGCCCAAUAACUGCCAAAGUACAAGACAAAGUUGAAACUGAGACAUGACUUAGAUAUGAGGCUACAGUAGAGGCAUCCUGUCAGUGCCUGUAUGGACUUGUAUUUCCCCAAAGAAGAACCUGGGUCUGGGUAUCUUAUUUGCAAGAAAUUCUCAGGGAUCAGUGGUGGGCAGCCAGAUAGAGUGAGGGAAGGGGAAGAAACCCACGUUGGAUGCAUAAUUGAGUCCACUGCUGUCAGCGUCUGGGGCUCUCGAAAUAGUCCACCCAAGAUCAGCCUUAAGCUGCAACCACUGGCUUCCAAAGCUGUUGGUUGGGUGGAUCCCCACCUCCAGGCUAGUCGUACUUGCUGAUCAGUGACUUCCACCAACAUCAGGAGUGUCAGAGAAAUACGAAGGGUAGAACACAGAAGAUCACCGUGGGUACAUAAGGGAAGUGGUCAUAGGGUCAAGGUAGGUAGAAGCCAACUCAAACUUACCACUGCAGCUGUGGCUAAAACUGAAUGGGAGGACAAGGGAACGCAAAUGAAACCUAGAUGUGUGUGAUACACCUGCCACAAGUGUGUGAGGUCCACUGCAGGGGUGCGCUGGGUCCAUUCAUUUGGCUGACACCAAAGAUGGCAGCCCCCUCUAUCAAUGCAAGCCCCAGCAACACACAAACCACCAGCUCGAAUACGCAGCUCUCCUUCAGGGGCAACCUCAGGUCCUAAUCCAAGGCACAGAUGCACGAAGCCACCGUGAACUACAGCUUCUCUUACCGAUGAGGCGCAAAUGGGCAAAAGAAGGACUGAAAUAAUUUCCUGCUUCUGAGCCAAAAUCCUAUUGAUGCGUUGGGGUAAUGCUUGCCCAUGUAAACUUUUCUAAUCUUAGCAGCUUAAUACAAUAACUGUCUGAAACUGUGAGCUCCAACCUGGCUUCCCUAUAGCCAUUCAGAGACCAAAUACCUCCCACGUUCUGGUUCUGCUGUUGUCAAGAUGUUUAUCAGCAUGAAGAAGGAAAAGGCAGGUAGGAUUCCACAUGCAAAGGUUCUAUGGGACAGAAAUGAAAGUGGUUCCUGGCACUUCUGCCCACUUAUCAUCAGCUGAACUCAGUCACUUGGCAGCAGUUAACUCCAAGAAAGGCCAGAAACAGGCUGAGGUUGUGUAUCUAGGGAUAAGAUGAAACGUGUUUAAUGAACACCUAGGCCAUCUCUGCCAUAAAUUCCUCCUUUUCAUAACACAUAACCCAAAAAAUAAACAGCUUUCAUCAAUAUGGCUGAUAUGGUUUGGCUGUGUUCUCACCUA